AAAAUUGUUAGAAUAUAUGUAUAUUCUAAUCAAAUUCUUUCCAACACAUCUAUACCUCUAUACCUUAUCUAUUAUUAUUAUACAUUAUAUACAUCUAUAUCUAUAUCUAUAUCUUUAUCUAUAUCUAUAUCUAUACAUUAAUUCUCAAAAAAAAUACCACGUGGCUGUGUUUCCAUCACUUUUAGGCUCCACAUUGCGAAACCAACCCUUCGCCUUCCCUCCACCUAUAACGUCUAAUUAAUAGUUCACCCAUCUUAACCUAACCCUUCGCCUUCCCUCCGUACAUAACAUUUAAUUAAUGGUCCACCCACUUUAACCCAACUCUUUGCCUCUCCUCCGCACAUAACGUCUAAUUAAUAGUCCACCCAUCUUAACCCUAAUCUAAAACCGUAAAUUAUAGAAACCAACGAAUAGCCUCCUUCUCUACUUUCUCUUCCUCCUCCAUGAGCUCUGAA
rnacentral:lncRNA from 1 species